rnacentral:lncRNA from 1 species
UCUCUGCAGGUGCUGCUAUCACCACAGAGCAGCCCGAUUGCGGCUGGCGUGUGCCUGAGCUGGCUGUCCCUCUGGCCACAUGUCCGGUGCUACAGGGUCUUCAAGGGUGUGUGGGGCUGGGCAGCAUCCGCCAGGCCCAGGCCCCGGGAACUGAAGGUGUUUCCUCCACGUCAGCCUCUGCACCUCCUAAGCACACACCUGCUGCAGGUGCCGGGAGUCAGUGCCUGAGACACCUGAGGACGCCUCCUCCUUGAAGGCUGGAGUCGACUGACUGCAUCUUGUACUGAUUUUGCGGGGAUUUCUGGUCUUUUUUAUCCAAUGCACGCUGGUCCCCGCCGCUGCUGGAGUGAGGCUGGUUGUCUCUGAGUGGGCUCUGCACCCUCACAGCAGGCAUCCUGACCCCUUUCUUUCCCACUCCAAGCUCACAUGCUGGAUCCCGCACCACAGACAGCCCCGAGGCCGCGCUCACAAGACCAGAUGGCCAGCUCGCCAUUUCUACCUUUCGGUGUCCAGGAGUUUUUCUUUUGUCUUUACUUGUUUAUUGAGGAAUGAAGAGUCAAUGAAGACUGAUCAAGACACUGCCUUGAAAGGGUUUCAUGGGCAAAGAACAAAAGCAAAUCAAAGGGUUCAUCCAGGCAAGGGGCUGACGCUCUUCCCCUGUUGGGGAGGAGGAACAGAUGAGGGCGGGGAGGACACAGCCCAGGACUCACAAGGCCCUGCCGUCCACAUUUCCUGAGAACUGCGAAGCAUCGUGCAGCCACGAGUUUCCCCAGACACCAGCACCCAUCCCCAGGCCUGCGGGUCAGUGAUUCUAGCUCAUCUGAUGGGCCGUCCAUAGGGAAGGGAUGGGCCCGCAGACCUGCCUGUUUGGUUGAUUGAAGUGGGACCUCUUUCACGACGAACGCCAGAUUGAAAUUCAUCACAGCAAAUGCCUAAGUUUGGAGAACAAUAUAUUUAUAGUGAGCUGAUUAGAUAUCAGAUGCACCUUUUCUCAACAAGUCGUUCUCUCACCCGUCUGAUUUCUAACCUCCUGAAGAGCAAAACCUGUCACCGACCCAGGAGCAGCAGGCAGAAGAGAAAUUCCAAAACAUCCUGAAGAGCAAGAGGCUCUGUGGAAAAUACCAGGGCUUGUGCAGGCGGGGGAGCUCACCGCCCUGGGCCAGAAGCCCCUCACCUGGAGGCAGCGGGUGCUGCCCUGAGUCAGGGCCCACAGGAGGCUUCUGGGCACAGACACACCCUGCAGAGAGGGUCCUGCUGGAACGCUUUGACAUUUCUAGGAUCUGGACUGUCCACGGGGAGAGACCAGGAGGGCAUGAGAAAUACGCUGAGUUGGGGCCGGGUGCAGUGGCUCAUGCCUGUCAUCCUAGCACUUUGGGAGGCCAAGACGGGUGGAUCACAUGAGGCUAGGAGUUUGAGACCAGCUUGGCCAGCAUGAUGAAACCCCGUAUCUACUAAAAAUACAAAUAUUAGCUGGGCUUGAUGGUGCACACCUGUAGUCCCAGCUACUUGGGAGGCUGAAGCAGGAGAAUCACUUGAACUUGGGAGGCUGAGGCAGGAGAAUCACUUGAACUUGGGAGGCUGAGGCAGGAGAAUCACUUGAACCCAGGAGGCGGAGGAGGUUGCAGUGAGCAGAAAUCGUGCCACUGCUCUCCAGCCUGGGCUACAGAGUAAGACUCUGUCUCAAAAAGAAAAAAAAAAAGAAACACACUGAGUUGGAACUCACUAUAUCACAAACAUUGAGGCCUACUUGCAUAACACAGUUGUUCCAAGCAACAAAUGUCACCAAAUGCACGCACUGUCGCCCAGUGUGACGUUUCUAAGGUGAAUGCACAAUGCGAGGACAUGGAAGCCUGGAGGAUGCGGGAAAGGCGCGUGUGGCCUGUGCUGGGCACCUCCCAUCAGCCAGAUGCACCUGCGCUCCUGGAGGAUGUAGGAAAGGGGCAUGUGGCCUGUGCUGGGCACCUCCCGUCAGCCAGACGCUCCUGCACUCCCACCCCGGCCAUUCCCUUUCCUUUCUUCCGCCAACUCUUCACAUAGCCCAUGAUUUUGGGGGGAAGAAUUAUUUACCAAAUUUUUAAAUCCAUUUUUUCUUCCUCAAUCUAGACUAAUUUCUCAGGUCUGAGGCCUGGAAAGCUUUAUUCCCCAGGCCACUGAACUGCCCUCCUGGAGAGCGGGCCAGUGCUAUGAUUGCCUCUGAGGCCGUUUGAACCUGGAGCUCCCUUUCCUCUCCUACUAAAAUCCAGAAGAACGAGAGGUAAAUAAACAAGGCUCUCCCAGACAGCAUGGGGCAAUGAGCCUGUUUCCUGAAGUCCCAGUGGCCACACAGCUGAACCUUGCAAACUUCUUAUCAAACUCUCAGCCCAAGAACAAUUAGCCAGGAUCAACACCCCAGCAAAGGUCAUUUGGGUUUGGAUUACAAAUUGCCAUCACCUCAGAGAAGAGGAGAGGGGAUCUGUUUGAGAAGAAUGUUUCUCUGCAGCUAAGGAUUAGCAGGCAUCCACAAGCCCGCCCUGCAGAGAUCUUCGAAAGAUGGCUUGGCAUCUUCUUCCGAGCAAGCGCAGCUCUCAGGCCGGGCCUGAGCCUGCAGCCUGUGUGCCCUCCAUCAUCAGGGCCCCCUCUCAGGACAGGCUACACCGAGGGUGGGACGGCGGACUUCCAGGGACACUUCCAAGUCGUGCCCAUGCAGAUACCUCAGUAUACACUGCCCACAGUUAAGAAACCACGACCUGAGACAUUGUUUUGAAGAGGUGAAAAUGCCUCCACUCAAGUGGCCCAGGAGCGUGAUCCAGGAAGACGAACACACAGAACCAUCUUCUGCAUGGUUUGAAAAUUCAGUGGAAACUAGUAAUGCCUAUGCGGGUUCACUGAUGAGAGGGCCCUAUGAGCCAUCCAGAGAAAAGCUGCCAUAUUUCCCUUCCAGAAGACCUGCUUGCAGGCCUUGAAUUUUGAGAGUGUGGGGAAAGCAGUCAAGCCCGCGCGGAGCGAUUGUGAGGGGCUCUGCUGGAAUUUGGCAGCGCGGAGGCUUGGAGAGAAGCCCCAUGCUGGCUCCCAUUCAGCCGGCCCGUUUUCCUCGAGCUUUGGAAGUUUCACUCAGCCGUGCACUCAAUGGCUUCACAAAGCUGAUUACAAGCUUCAGCGCAUUCCUGAAGGAGCCAAAAGCGACGCAGGUGCAAACGAGCCGAGGGAGCCCCUUAUCCCGUCUCCAUCACAAUCACUUAUCUGGAAACCUGCGGUUGGAUUAAUCGUUAUAUUCCCGAGAUGAGCGUCGCUGCAAUCCGCAGCGAACGCGGGUAGGGACCUGGAGACGCCUCCCGGGCGCUGGCGGGGCCGGUGUGGGCCAGCUCCGCUACCGCCUGAGACGCGGUGUGCCCAGGUGUUGGUGCCCGCGGGAGAGGGCUGUGGGGCGCCUUCCCCAGGAUUUGCUUGACUUGCUUUUCGCUCGAGUGGGUGGUGCGCGGGUGCGGGAGGCGGAGGGAGGAGGAGGGGUGAGGGGAGGAGGGCCUGUGGGGCUGCGGACCCGGAGCAGCCUGGGUGGAGCGCGGCCUCGGGAGGCCCUGGGUGCAUCGCGGCGGGGCCUGGGGGGGCCCAGGCGCCGGAGGAGCCGUCGGUGCCGGAAUGCAGCGUGUUUCACUUGGGAGAAACGUUGCCCUCGGUCCCUUGCCUCCCUCCUGUUGUCUCGGUUUUUCUGGCUUCGUCCUUCGUCCCACCCACCCGUUCCCACCUCAGGUCCCUCCCCCAGGAUCCCCUCCUUAAGGAUCCAGGUCUCUGAAAAUUAUUGGCAACAGUUACACGCCCCACGAUUGAAAUCCACAAGAGAAGAGUCCCAGUUCUGCAGGCCGCUCCAGGGCUAGGGGUAGAGAUGGUGGCAGGUGGUGCGUCAACUCUCUAGGGAAGAGGAACUUGCAUUACAAAGACUUGUCUUUCUGAGCUGAAGUCAAAACGGGGGCGUCAAGCGCGCUCCGUUUGGCGGCGGUGGAGGGGCCGCGCGCCCGCGCUGUCCCAGCCGGAGCUGCCCUGGCUGGUGAUUGGAGGUUUAACGUCCGGAAUUCAGGCGCUUCUGCAGCUCAGAUUUGCCGGCCAAGGGGCCUCAGUUGCAACUUUUCAAAAUGGUGUUUCUGGAAAAUAACAAAUUCAGACUCAACUGGUGACAGCUUUUGGCUAUAGAGAAUGAAACUGCUUCCCUUUGGCGGUGGAACUCUUAAACUUCGAAGAGUGAAAGAAUACAAUGAAAUAAAAUGCCAUAAGAUCACUGGAUUUUUCAGAAAAAGGAAGACCCCAAAUUACUCCCAAAAUGAGGCUUUGUAAAUUCUUGUUAAAAAUCUUUAAAUCUCGAAUUUCCCCCUACAACAUCUGAUGAGUGCUUUAAGAGCAAACGAGCAAAUCCCACCUCGAGAAUCAACAAACCCAAGCUCUGGCCAAGGCUCUCCCCGCGUUUUCUUCUCGUGACCUGGGGAAUGUCCCGCCCCAUCGCUCACCUGGCUCUUGUCAUCUCGCUCAUCUUGAAGUGACCCGUGGACAAUGCUGCUCCCUGCCGCAGCUCC